AAGCGUUUAUGACCAGACUUGGACUUGGUUAAUCAUCUGGGGUUCUCCCCAGUGCACUUUUCCAGUUCAGGCCAGCAUCAGUUUUCCCCGGGGGAUAAAGGCUCUGGGAAUGUAGCUCCCUCCGGGGAGUGUUAUAGCCCAGGGUGUCAUGCAGCCAGCCUGGACUGAGGUCCGCGCUUCGGCUAGGAUGCUGGCGUAAUGGU
rnacentral:rRNA from 1 species